ensembl:lncRNA
CGGUGACGCUCAGAUAUCCGAGUGUAAGUGAAUGCAGCAUCGGCUUCUGCGCUAUGUGCAUCACGUUAGCAAAGGUAGGAGAGCCAAGCACGAAAGACGUCACUGCAGGAAACAAUUUUUCGGUGAAAGAAAAUGAGGACAGAAUAAAUGUCCCGGUGGUGGAUUGGCCAGAUGCAGGUCGAUGUGUAGAAAUAACUCCGUUGUUUGGUGGUGGCUAUGGCGGGGCUUCCACAGAGGCAGCAGGUGGAUGAGGGAAGGGGAGGCAGGAGGAGAGCCCCGAGGCAGCCGCCAGUCCGAGUGUCAGGUGAACUGAACUUCAGGUAAGAAGUUAUGACCUGCAGUCUAUCUGGGUCAGAUAUGAACUAAGUUUAGGUGGAGUUUAUUUUCGUUGUGCUGACUUUUUACUGUCAGUUGCAAUAACUCAUACUGCGUUCUAGCCAGCUUGGAGUUUUUAUACAGCUGUUCGGUUGCUAUGAUGUUACUGAUAGUGAACUUUAUUUUAUUCAUAAGGUUAGUUAGUAGAGUUGCCAACGGCUCCUUAAAAAAAUGGAAUGGUCCCUCAAUCAGAGAAAAUAUUACACGUUUCGUAUUGAGCUGAGAAGAGACGCAGUUUGUCCCGAACUUCAGCUAGAAUGGAAAAAGACACAAAGCUGGAUUUAUUCUGUCUUUACGCUGCACAGCUGCCUCUUCUCUCAUCCUCCCUCUCCUGUUGCUACUUCAAUCAUGAAACUGAUCGAUGAUCAGCUGAUCGGCUUUUCUCUCUUGUUUGUUUAUCGCCCACUUUGCGCCAGAAAGACGAAACCAGCAGAUGUCGCGCUAAACAACAGCAGCACGUUUAAGCUUGAUCGGCUGUUGUUAGAAUUUAUUUAAUAUUAAUUUCUAGUAUCAGCUGAUGUUUGCUGGAGCCACAGCUGUAAAGCUGCUGGUCAUGAUGUCGGUUUGGAUAUCUGGUGAGAGGGAAACGUGAAGACCACCCACCAGGAUCCUUUUUUAUGUAGCUGACAGCUGGUAACU